rnacentral:RNase_P_RNA from 1 species
AAAGAAGGACAGGUGAUCGCCGUCUGUCGUAGCAUUAGCUGCGUUGGAGGGAGGAAAGUCCGGGCUCCACAGGACAGGAUGGUUCCUAACGGGAACCGAGGGUAACCUCAGGGAAAGUGCCACAGAGAGGAGACCGUCUACACCAGCCUUCGGGCGCAGUGUGGAUAAGGGUGAAAGGGUGAGGUAAGAGCUCACCAGUUCUGGCGGUGACGUCAGAAGCUCGGUAAACCCCAUCCGGAGCAAGGUCGAAUAGGGGAACGUUUGAGGGUUGUCCGCCCAAAGUUCCCGGGUCUGGCUGCUGGAGACCGUUGGCAACGACGGUCCUAGAUGAAUGAUCACUGUCCCGUUGCGGGUAACUUCAGCGGGAAACAGAACCCGGCUUACGUACUUCUUUGGCC